rnacentral:lncRNA from 1 species
AGUUCCAGGUUGUCAGUCUUGGCAGCAACUGCCUUUAUUCAGUGAACCAUCUCAUCUGAGCAUUCUCUAACGCUUGACUAUUGAUGGAAUGUGAUCAGUUGCCUCAAGUGCCUGUGGCUGUGACUUCCCCACUAGGAUGGGCUGCAACUUCAAACGGUAAGCCGACAAACCCUUUCUCCCAGAAGUUGCUUUGUCUCUGCUCGCCUCAAAUUCAGGAUUUGAAAUCCCACCAAUCCCCACCCUGGAAAACUCUGUCACCGAAGAAACCUUAUCUCAGGCACAGCCCUGGAAGAGAGAGCUCAGUGAGACACCGCUCAGUCGCUGUUUCUCCUGAUUGAAACACCACCUCCUGGCUGAGAAGAAGAGUAUAAAACUGGGGGAGUGAACGAAACUCACAAGGCUCAAGGAGUACACAGAACUGCAAGGCUCCGGAAGCUUUCCCAGCUCAGCAUAUUCACAAGACCCUUCCCCCACCCCGAGGGUGGAGGGUGAGGUGGGGGGGGGGGGAGGGUAGAAAGGCAGUCGUCACUGGUGUGAGAAGAGACUCUCCAGCCCGCAGAGUUGGGACGCAGCUUUUAGGAGUUGUGGCUUAUGCUGGGGUCAGCUUUUUCAUGACCCAUAGUGGCUGGCUAUGCUAGCCCAGUUCUUGAAAGUAAUCUCUUACCCUCCCCGUAAGACUCACUGGUUUACCAAGACAGAGUUGGUGGAAUUCAGGUAGGAAAGUUGUAGAGAUAGUUAAGUAACCCAGGAUGCCACUUGGCUAGAGUAAUAUACACACUGUUUUCCGUACAAUACAUGUAUCAACCUGGGACUUCCACCACAU